rnacentral:rRNA from 2 species
GUAGGUGAACCUGCGGAAGGAUCAUCG